rnacentral:ncRNA from 1 species
GACCCUCCCAUCACCUUUCUCUCGAGGGUCGCGGCUG